UAGGGAAUAUUGGACAAUGGGGGCAACCCUGAUCCAGCCAUGCCGCGUGAGUGAAGAAGGCCCUCGGGUUGUAAAGCUCUUUUGUCCGGAAAGAAAAGCAUCGGGUUAAUACCCCGGUGUUCUGACGGUACCGGAAGAAUAAGCACCGGCUAACUUCGUGCCAGCAGCCGCGGUAAUACGAAGGGUGCAAGCGUUACUCGGAAUUACUGGGCGUAAAGCGUGCGUAGGUGGUUCGUUAAGUCUGAUGUGAAAGCCCUGGGCUCAACCUGGGAAUGGCAUUGGAAACUGGCGGACUGGAGUGCGGUAGAGGGUAGCGGAAUUCCCGGUGUAGCAGUGAAAUGCGUAGAGAUCGGGAGGAACAUCCGUGGCGAAGGCGGCUACCUGGACCAGCACUGACACUGAGGCACGAAAGCGUGGGGAGCAAACA
rnacentral:rRNA from 1 species